CCUACGGGGGGCAGCAGUGGGGAAUAUUGCACAAUGGGGGGAACCCUGAUGCAGCGACGCCGCGUGGGUGAAGGAGGACCUCGGUGCGUAAAGCCCUAUCGGCAGGGAAGAAAGGCGGGCGGGGCCCGUCUGGACGGGACCGGACUAAGAAGCCCCGGCUAACUACGUGCCAGCAGCCGCGGUAAUACGUAGGGGGCAAGCGUUAGCCGGAUUCACUGGGUGUAAAGGGAGCGUAGACGGCGACGCAAGUCUGGAGUGAAAGCCCGGGGCCCAACCCCGGGACUGCUCUGGAAACUGCGGCGCUGGAGUACGGGAGGGGCAGGCGGAAUUCCUGGUGUAGCGGUGAAAUGCGUAGAUAUCAGGAGGCACACCGGCGGCGAAGGCGGCCUGCUGGACCGUGACUGACGUUGAGGCUCGAUAGCGUGGGGAGCAAACAGGAUUAGAUACCCUAGUAGUC
rnacentral:rRNA from 1 species